UAAGGAAUAUUGGUCAAUGGGCGCAAGCCUGAACCAGCCAUGCCGCGUGCAGGAAGACGGCCCUAUGGGUUGUAAACUGCUUUUGUCAGGGAAUAAACCCCCGCUCGUGAGCGGGGCUGAAGGUACCUGAAGACUAAGCAUCGGCUAACUCCGUGCCAGCAGCCGCGGUAAUACGGAGGAUGCAAGCGUUAUCCGUAUUCAUUGGUUUUAAAGGGUGCGCAGGCGGAUUGGUAAGUCAGGGGUGAAAUCCCACAGCUCAACUGUGGAACUGCCUUUGAUACUGUCAGUCUAGAGUGUAGUUGAAGUGGGCGGAAUGUGUCAUGUAGCGGUGAAAUGCUUAGAUAUGACACAGAACACCGAUCGCGAAGGCAGCUCGCUAAGCUAUAACUGACGCGCAUGCACGAAAGCGUGGGGAUCAAACAG
rnacentral:rRNA from 1 species